rnacentral:rRNA from 1 species
GACGAACGCUGGCGGCGUGCUUAACACAUGCAAGUCGAACGGUAAGGCCCUUCGGGGUACACGAGUGGCGAACGGGUGAGUAACACGUGGGUGAUCUGCCCUGCACUUCGGGAUAAGCCUGGGAAACUGGGUCUAAUACCGGAUAGGACCACUGCCUGCAUGGGUGGGGGUGGAAAGCUCUUGCGGUGUGGGAUGGGCCCGCGGCCUAUCAGCUUGUUGGUGGGGGGAUGGCCUACCAAGGCGACGACGGGUAGCCGGCCUGAGAGGGUGACCGGCCACACUGGGACUGAGAUACGGCCCAGACUCCUACGGGAGGCAGCAGUGGGGAAUAUUGCACAAUGGGCGCAAGCCUGAUGCAGCGACGCCGCGUGAGGGAUGACGGCCUUCGGGUUGUAAACCUCUUUCAGCACCGACGAAGCGCAAGUGACGGUAGGUGCAGAAGAAGGACCGGCCAACUACGUGCCAGCAGCCGCCGCAG